GUUCCGUUUUAUUUUCUAGAAAAAUAUGUCGCACGAUUUUUACACGCGCUGAAAUAAUUAGAAUAAUGAUUAGAUAUUAGGAAAUUAUUUUCGCCCACUCUAAGGCACAUAAAUAGGCGCAAACACCAAGUCAGUAAAUUUUAUAUCAAACAGUUUUGGAGAUGGCGCUACUUGGUCAAAUAAUUUGUGCUCUACUAGUGGUAGCAGUUCUACUAAAUGGCGGCGAAUGUAGACCUGAUCCCGUACUUGGUGCUGUGGGAGGUCUGGUCAAUGGUUUACCUGGCGGUGCUGCGUUAUCCGGAGCUCUUGGUACUGUGGGUGGUCUCCUUGGCGCUCUACCGCUAGUAGGCGGCUUACUAGGUGGGCGUUAAAAGUGCUUUUGCGGCGCAGUGCGUGGUUUGAAGGAAUUGAUCAAAUGUGUUUCACUCUUCACAAAAAUGAAUAAAAUUUUCAAUGAAAUUGUUAAUUGCAUAUCAAUAAACAUAUUGUGAAGUCCGAAAAGCUUUUUUUUAAA